CCUGAACGCUGGCGGCGUGGCUAAGACAUGCAAGUCGAACGGGUGUAGCAAUACACCAGUGGCGGACGGGUGAGUAAUGUAUAGCUAACGUGCCCCUUGGACAGGGAUAGCCAUCCGAAAGGAUGGGUAAUACCUGGUGACAUAACCUGGUCGCAUGGCCGGGUUCUCAUAGGCCGCAAGGCGCCAAGGGAGCGGGCUAUAUUGUAUCAGCUAGUUGGUGAGGUAAUGGCUCACCAAGGCGACGACGCAUAGCCGGACUAAGAGGUUGUCCGGCCACAUUGGGACUGAGACACUGCCCAGACUCCUACGGGGGGCUGCAGUAACGAAUCUUCCGCAAUGCACGAAAGUGUGACGGAGCGACGCCGCGUGUGGGAUGAAGUUCUUCGGAAUGUAAACCACUGUCAGGGGUUAGAAAGUUCUGAUCAACCCCAGAGGAAGGCACGGCUAACUCUGUGCCAGCAGCCGCGGUAAGACAGAGGUGCCAAGCGUUAGGCGGAAUCACUGGGCUUAAAGCGUGUGUAGG
rnacentral:rRNA from 1 species